rnacentral:rRNA from 1 species
GACGAACGCUGGCGGCGUGCCUAAUACAUGCAAGUAGAACGCACAGUUUAUACCGUAGCUUGCUACACCAUAGACUGUGAGUUGCGAACGGGUGAGUAACGCGUAGGUAACCUGCCUGGUAGCGGGGGAUAACUAUUGGAAACGAUAGCUAAUACCGCAUCAUAUUGAUUAUUGCAUGAUAAUUGAUUGAAAGAUGCUAUUGCAUCACUACCAGAUGGACCUGCGUUGUAUUAGCUAGUAGGUGAGGUAACGGCUCACCUAGGCGACGAUACAUAGCCGACCUGAGAGGGUGAUCGGCCACACUGGGACUGAGACACGGCCCAGACUCCUACGGGAGGCAGCAGUAGGGAAUCUUCGGCAAUGGACGAAAGGCUGACCGAGCAACGCCGCGUGAGUGAAGAAGGUUGUCGGAUCGUAAAGCUCUGUUGUAAGAGAAGAACGGGGGUGAGAGUGGAAAGUUCACACUGUGACGGUAUCUUACCAGAAAGGGACGGCUAACUACGUG